CAAACAGACCGGACCGCCCCUGCGAACCACCCCUGUGUUGGCCAUGAAAAACGGUCACGUGAUCUGGUCCCUUGGUUAAGACAUCAGUUAACAAGGUUUCUGUAGAGCCAACGCGUCCAUGUCUGAACAACCACACGUUCUGAAUGCGUCCACUCAGUUUAAGUUGAGCCCACUCGGUUGAGUGAGCAGUUUGAGGGUUGGAGUGAAACCAGCUGUCUGUUGUGCAAAAUUAACGACGUGGGACCAUCGUCUGUCACCGUUUGAUGAUCGUUUGGGGUCACCAAAUCUCCUCCACCUCGGCUCACAAUACCACAUAUCUUCAAGCAGUUUAGUGAAAACCUUUUACUAAUGGGAAGCUAGAGCUCCCCUCAACUGAACAAGGUCUGAUUGGCCCACUCCCUUCCGUUUUAUGGAUGUACUGAGAGUAAAAUGAGGCUAGCUGAAUGAAUGAAUGGUCACACACUGAGACCAGGAGUCUAGUGGGUAC